ACCAGGGUUUAGAGGUGACCAGCAGCUUGUCCCCCAGCUCCAGAGUCCCAGUCCUGUGGAGAGGAACACACAGACCCGGGUUUAGAGGUGACCAGCAGCUUGUCCCCCAGCUCCAGAGUCCCAGUCCUGUGGAGAGGAACACCCAGACCAGGGUUUAGAGGUGACCAGCAGCUUGUCCCCCAGCUCCAGAGUCCCAGUCCUGGGGAGAGGAACACACAGACCAGGGUUUAGAGGUGACCAGCAGCUUGUCCCCCAGCUCCAGAGUCCCAGUCCUGGGGAGAGGAACACACAGACCAGGGUUUAGAGGUGACCAGCAGCUUGUCCCCCAGCUCCAGAGUCCCAGUCCUGGGGAGAGGAACACACAGACCAGGGUUUAGAGGUGACCAGCAGCUUGUCCCCCAGCUCCAGAGUCCCAGUCCUGGGGAGAGGAACACACAGACCAGGGUUUAGAGGUGACCAGCAGCUUGUCCCCCAGCUCCAGAGUCCCAGUCCUGGGGAGAGGAACACACAGACCAGGGUUUAGAGGUGACCAGCAGCUUGUCCCCCAGCUCCAGAGGCCCAGUCCUGGGGAGAGGAACACACAGACCAGGGUUUAGAAGUGACCAGCAGACUCACAGAGACCUGUUAACAGGGAACAUAGGGUUUUGAUCAA